rnacentral:rRNA from 1 species
CGUGUAGGUGGUCAGGUAAGUCAGAUGUGAAAGCCUUCUGCUUAACAGAAGAAGUGCAUUUGAAACUGCUUGGCUAGAGUACGGGAGAGGAGAGUGGAAUUCCCGGUGUAGAGGUGAAAUUCGUAGAUAUCGGGAGGAACACCAGUGGCGAAGGCGGCUCUCUGGUCCGAUACUGACGCUGAGACGCGAAAGCGUGGGGAGCAAACAGGAUUAGAUACCCUGGUAGUCCACGCCGUAAACGAUGGGCACUAGGUGUAGGAGGUAUUGACCCCUUCUGUGCCGAAGCUAACGCAUUAAGUGCCCCGCCUGGGGAUACGGCCGCAAGGCUAAA